CGGGGUGUAGCGCAGGUGGUAGCGCGCCUGCUUCGGGAGCAGGAGGCCGUGGGUUCAAGUCCCGCCACUCCGACCA
rnacentral:tRNA from 1 species